UACGUAGGGGGCAAGCGUUGUCCGGAAUUAUUGGGCGUAAAGCGUGCGUAGGCGGUUUGUUAAGUCCGCUGUGAAAGCCCUGGGCUCAACCUGGGAAUUGCAGUGGAUACUGGCAAGCUAGAGUGCGGUAGAGGAUGGUGGAAUUCCCGGUGUAUUGGUGAAAUGCGUAGAUAUCGGGAGGAACACCAGUGGCGAAGGCGACUACCUGGCCUGUUCUUGACGCUGAGGCGCGAAAGCUAGGGGAGCAAACGGG
rnacentral:rRNA from 1 species